UUAUGAUUAGCUGAAGUCCAAUUCUCAUAUUUUGAAGAGUCUCCAAGUGGAAUCUAGAAAAAUAAUUAAACAAAUAAAAUAAAAGCAACGGUGAUUAUUGAUUAAAAUUGUGUUAAUCGUGAUUAUAAUUUUUUUUAAUCAUGUAAGCGCGUUUCGGAUGUACCUUGGAUCUACAUGACAUGUCUUUGCCCAUAUCCAUAUAGUUUAGGAAAUGGUGGAAUUUAAAGAUUUAUUAUCUUAUAAGAAAUGAAUAAAUUGAGGAUUUUAUUACUGAACAAAAGGGGGGAAGACCAAUGAACAUAAGUAUUAAAAAACUUUUUGUAUUUAAAAUAACAACAUCUGUGAAUAUUUAGUCAAGUGAUAUUUUAGAAGUUUCAUUAGAUUUCGUCUUUGUUGUGUAGUGCUAAAUAUUGUUGAAUAUAAGAUUAAAAUGUCCCAUUUCAAAUAUAGGUAUACUCAUAUAUACUACUAGGAUAAUAUUUGGAUUUCCACAAAUUAUGGAUAAAGAAUUGGUGCGUCUUAACAGGUAAUUUGUACUUUGUCAUAUAAUUUACAUACUUUAUAUUUUAAGAUAAUAUCUUAGAACAUUGUCUUUUAAAAUUGUUAGGGCCUCACAGGAGUAUAUAAAAGCUUCAGAAAAUUUAGUCAUUACUGCUCAUCGUAAUUUAGGCAAACCAGAUAAAAUUUUAUGUCCUUGUAAAGGUUGUCAAAACUUAAGACAUCAAUAUGUAAAUAUCGUUCACGAGCAUCUGGUCACAAGAGAAAUCGAUCCGACUUACACAAAUUGGUUUCACCAUGGAGAAAGACUGAUUAGUAAUGUUGAUACUAUAAGUAAGAUUGAAAUACUCAACUUGUUUGAAGCAACACAUACGAAUGAAGAACAUAACAAGGAAGUUUUUGAAGAGAAUUUGGAUGAUGACAUUAGUCGAUUGGUAAUGGAUGCUGAAACUCCGUUGUAUCUAGGAAAUGAAAAAUACACGAAGCUAUCUUCAAUUGUGACCUUAUAUAAGCUUAAAACUACUAGUGGUUGGUCAGAUAAUAGCUUUACAGAACUUCUAAAUACAUUACAUGAUAUGUUACCUGAAGGUAAUGUAAUUCCUACAUCCACACUAUGUGUAAGAAAAUUUCUUAAGACAUUUGAUUUCGGAUAUGAGAAGAUUUAUGCAUGUAUCAAUGAUUGUUGUUUGUUUAGAAACAAUAAAAAUGAACUAGAUAGCUGUCCAAAAUGUGGUUCUUCGAGAUGGAAGGUCGAUAAGCAUACACGAAAGAAUAAAAAUGGUGUACCUGCUAAAGUCUUAAGAUACUUUCCUAUAAAACCUAGAUUCCAGAGGAUGUUUAGUACAUCGAAAAUGGAUGAAUCAUUAAUAUGGCAUUCAACCAAUCAGAGUGUUGAUGGUAAAAUGCGUCAUCCAGUAGAUUCUCCAUCUUGGGCUUUAAUUGAUAACAAGUGGCCAGAAUUUUCAAAUAAUCCACGCAAUCUUAGGCUUGGGCUUGCUACGGAUGGUUUCAAUCCAUUCAACAAUUUUAGCUCUACCUAUAGUUGUUGGCCAGUGAUGUUGGUUAUUUAUAAUCUACCACUAUGGUUAUGUAUGAAAAAAGAAAAUAUCAUGUUGUCAUUAUUAAUUCCAGGGCCUAAACAGCCUAGGAAUGAUAUUGAUAUAUAUUUGCAACCACUUAUAGAUUACUUGAGCGAAUUGUGGAAUAUUGGGAUGAAUGUGUAUAAUGCACACACUAAUGUAGUCUUUAACUUGAAAGCAAUACUUAUGUGGACUAUCAAUGAUUUCUCAGCUCUUGGAAAUUUAGCUGGAUGUAAAAUUAAGGGUAGGACAGGUUGCCCUGUAUGUUCUUAGAAUACUCAUUCACAGUGGUUAAAAUUCAGUAGAAAAUUUGCAUACAUGGGUCAUAGGAGAUUUUUGUCACCAUCUUAUCCGUUAAGGAAAAAGAAAUCUUGGUUUGAUGGACAUGAAGAAAAGGGAAGCAAACCUAAAAUUAUAUCUGCUAGCAACAUUCUGGUUACUCUUAAAGAUUAUGUCAACAAUUUUGGGAAAGCUCAAAAACGAAAAAGAAAGACAGAUGAUGGGAGCAUUCUAACAUGGAAAAAGAGUUCAAUCUUUUUUAACUUACCAUAUUGGGAGGUAAGAUUUUGGCAUUCUCCAACUUUUAUUCAAUUUUUUUUCAAUUAUCUGAAUAUACUUUUUGUAUGAAACUAACAAAAUCCUUUUUCUUUGUUACAUUAUUAGGUGCUACCAUUACGUUAUAAUUUGGAUGUAAUGCACAUUGAGAAAAAUAUAUGUGAAAGCAUUAUUGGUACAUUGUUAGAUAUAAAUGGUAAAAUAAAAGAUGGAUUAAAUGCUCGUAAGGAAUUACAAGACAUGGGAAUUAGGAAGGAGUUACAUCCAGAGGACUGAGGUAAUAGAAUAUACCUUCAUCCUACUCCACAUACGUUGUCAAGGUUAGAGAAACAAACAUUUUGUAAGAGGUUGUUUAACUUGAAAUUACCUUAUGGGUACAGUUCAAAUGUAGCCACUUAUAUAUCAGUAGAUGAAUGCAAAAUUAUUGGCCUCAAGUCACAUGAUUGUCAUGUCCUCAUGCAACAACUUUUGGCUGUAGCAUUAAGAGUAUUACUUCCAAAAUGACCAAGACAUGCAAUUUUUAGACUAUGUACAUUCUUCAAUAGAUUAUGCCAACGUGUUGUUGAUAGGGAGAAAAUAGCAAUAUUAGAAGAUGAAGUAGCUGAAACCUUAUGCAGUCUUGAAAGAUUCUUUCCUCCUGCAUUUUUUGAUAUCAUGAUACAUUUGGUGGUACAUUUGGGAAGAGAAGUACGAUUAUGUGGUCCAGUUCACUAUUGUUGGAUGUAUCCUUUUGAGAGGUGAGAAAUUCACUAUUACUUGGAUAAAUUUACCCACAUAAUUGCAUUCUUAGUACUAAUUUGUUUACUUUGUUUAAUUAUAGACAUAUGAAGAUAUUCAAAGGACAUGUGAGAAAUCGUGCAGAUCCGAAUGUUAUAUAGCUGAAUGUUAUCUUGCAGAUGAGUGCAUGAAUUUUUGUAUCGAGUUUAUGAAACAAGUAAGAGAAAUUGGUCAUCGAGAGGGGCGCAAUCAAGAUUAUGUUACCAAUGAAACUGAGGGACAUCCCAUUUCUGCUCCAAAUUUUAUUACACUAAGUAAUGAAAUGUUAGAGAUAGCACAUCGUUAUGUAUUAUUCAAUACAUCUUAUGUGGAACCUUAUUUGGAGUAAGUCAUCCAUUAUUCAUAUUAAUAAGUGUAGAACAUGUAUAUAAAUCUGUAAUCUCUGAUAACUUGCUUAUUAUUAGAAUGCAUAAAGAGGAGCUCAAGCGAAACAAUAGAAGCCUUGAAAAAAAUGAAAGCUUGCUUUGGAAAAUUCACACGGAGAAAUUUGCAGUUUGGUUAAAGGAAAAGGUUGUACAUAAUGUUAAAAAAUUCUUUUCUUCUCAUUAUGAUACUAUAUAUUUACAUCAUUGAUACAUGUCUAACUUUUUUCGCAGAUUAAUGUAAGUUCCACCAUAAGUGAAAUAUCAAAUGUUCUGAAAUGUUUGGCAUAUGGUCCUAAAAUGCAAGCAGUCUCCUACACUAGAUAUAUUAGCAAAGGACAAUGGUUCCACAUAAAAGAUGUUGAGAAAUUUACACAGACUAGUGGUGUAUCAAUUGAAGCGACAACCAUGUGUAGAGCUAGUGCAAAGGAUAAUGCAAAAUUUUAUGAUGUUGUUGCAUUUUAUAGAGUCAUUAGAGAAAUAAUUUCAUUAGAUUACCACAUAAUGAAGAUUCCACUCUUUAAGUGUGACUGGGCAAAUGUUGGUAAUGGUGUUAAAGUGGAUGAUUGUUUUACACUUGUUAAUUUAUACCAAAGUCAAAAUAAUUUUGUAAAAGAUCCUUUCAUUUUAGCAUUCACAGGCCAAACAAAUGUUUUAUUCAAGAGAAAAUGAUUCCUCUAACUGGUACGUGGUUUUGAAAGCACCACCUCGAGGAUUUCAUGAUCUAGAAAUGUAUGAUGAGAAUGAGGAAGUCAGUGUUAGAAAUAAUGUUUCACUGAACAUUGAUUAUGUGAACGAGGAAAUUAGCUAUGUAAGAGGGGAUUGCGAGAAUACUUUAAUUUGACGAUUGUAAAUUUUAGUUCAGAAAUAAAAAGAUCCUUUUGUAGUUAGUUUUAUUUGUUUUUUCUUGUGCUGCCUUGAAGCAUUGUAAUGUUAAUAUUAUAUUAUUGUUUGUAUUUUUCUGUCGCCUUGCAAUGGUGAGUAUUGUUUAUUCAUUUUUUUAUGUGAUUUUCUAAAAUUUUGACAUAGAAUGCUAAUCAUGAUUUUUAUAUUUUCUUAAAUAGGCUCGAUAUCAUGGUGAAUAUCAAAAAGAAGGUUGUUGAUGAUUCCAAAGCUCCACGUAAAAAGAGAUUAGUACGAAAAAACUACACGCGGACAACUUAAAGUAGCCAACACAUUUCAACAACAUUUUAACUCUCUGGAUGCUCCUACUAGGUCUUUCUACAGCAUGAAUAUGCGUAAGGAUCUCAUGAAAAAUUAUUAUUCACUUGUUGAUUUACCAAAAAACUGUGCAAUGAGAUCCAUCACUAACACAUUUAUAGAUGAGGCAUCACAUGAGGUUACCCCAGAAGAUGAUGUAGACAUGAGUGGUAAUGAAAGCCAAAGAACACAUGUGGAAGAUACGAGUCUAUUGCAACAAAAUGUUAUACAUUCUGAAGGAGAGAUUCAACAAGUCCAAAAGAAGAAGAGAGACCCUACCCAAAUGAAGAAUUUGAAUGAAGUCAUUGCUUCAAUUGAAGUAAAGUUUAAUGAAAUGGGACAUUCGCUAUCUGUCACUUUAUCUCUUUUUCUGGGCCGUCUUGUAAGGGAGACUGUACUGUAUACUCUUGUUGACUGGUAAUACCUUUCAGAUGAUAUGAAACUUGUUAUGUGGAAAGAUAUU
rnacentral:lncRNA from 1 species